GAUGAACGCUGGCGGCGUGCCUAAUACAUGCAAGUCGAGCGAACGGACGAGAAGCUUGCUUCUCUGAUGUUAGCGGCGGACGGGUGAGUAACACGUGGAUAACCUACCUACAAGACUGGGAUAACUUCGGGAAACCGGAGCUAAUACCGGAUAAUAUUAUGAACCGCAUGGUUCAAAAGUGAAAGACGGUCUUGCUGUCACUUAUAGAUGGAUCCGCGCUGCAUUAGCUAGUUGGUAAGGUAACGGCUUACCAAGGCAACGAUGCAUAGCCGACCUGAGAGGGUGAUCGGCCACACUGGAACUGAGACACGGUCCAGACUCCUACGGGAGGCAGCAGUAGGGAAUCUUCCGCAAUGGGCGAAAGCCUGACGGAGCAACGCCGCGUGAGUGAUGAAGGUCUUCGGAUCGUAAAACUCUGUUAUUAGGGAAGAACAUAUGUGUAAGUAACUGUGCACAUCUUGACGGUACCUAAUCAGAAAGCCACGGCUAACUACGUG
rnacentral:rRNA from 1 species